GAUGAACGCUGGCUGCGUGCCUAAUACAUGCAAGUCGAGCGAACAGACGAGGAGCUUGCUCCUCUGACGUUAGCGGCGGACGGGUGAGUAACACGUGGAUAACCUACCUAUAAGACUGGGAUAACUUCGGGAAACCGGAGCUAAUACCGGAUAAUAUAUUGAACCGCAUGGUUCAAUAGUGAAAGACGGUUUUGCUGUCACUUAUAGAUGGAUCCGCGCCGCAUUAGCUAGUUGGUAAGGUAACGGCUUACCAAGGCAACGAUGCGUAGCCGACCUGAGAGGGUGAUCGGCCACACUGGAACUGAGACACGGUCCAGACUCCUACGGGAGGCAGCAGUAGGGAAUCUUCCGCAAAGGGCGAAAGCCUGACGGAGCAACGCCGCGUGAGUGAUGAAGGUCUUCGGAUCGUAAAACUCUGUUAUUAGGGAAGAACAAAUGUGUAAGUAACUAUGCACGUCUUGACGGUACCUAAUCAGAAAGCCACGGCUAACUACGUG
rnacentral:rRNA from 1 species